rnacentral:rRNA from 1 species
UACGAAGGGGGCUAGCGUUGCUCGGAAUCACUGGGCGUAAAGGGCGCGUAGGCGGCCUGUUAAGUCGAACGUGAAAUCCCCGGGCUCAACCCGGGAACUGCGUCCGAUACUGGCAGGCUUGAAUCCGGGAGAGGGAUGCGGAAUUCCAGGUGUAGCGGUGAAAUGCGUAGAUAUCUGGAGGAAUACCGGUGGCGAAGGCGGCAUCCUGGACCGACAUUGACGCUGAACGGCGAAAGCUAGGGGAGCAAACGGG